rnacentral:rRNA from 1 species
UAGAGUUUGAUCCUGGCUCAGAACGAACGCUGGCGGCGUGGAUAAGACAUGCAAGUCGAACGAGAAUUUUCGUUGUAGCAAUACGAUGGAAAGUCUAGUGGCGAACGGGUGCUUAACACGUGGGCAACCUGCCAGGAAGUGGGGGAUAGCUCGCCGAAAGGCGAAUUAAUACCGCAUGUGAUUAGAGAGGACAUCCUUUCGAAAUUAAAGUCGGGGCAACCUGACGCUUCUUGUGGGGCCCGCGGCCUAUCAGCUAGUUGGUGGGGUAAAGGCUCACCAAGGCUUUGACGGGUAGCUGGUCUGANAGGACGACCGGCCACACUGGGACUGAGACACGGCCCAGACACCUACGGGUGGCAGCAGUCGAGAAUUUUUGACAAUGGGGGAAACCCUGAUCGAGCGACGCCGCGUGGAGGAUGAAGGUCUUCGGAUUGUAAACUCCUGUCAUUGGGGAACAGGUGCAUACGUUAACUGCGUGCGCAUUGAUAGUACCCGAAGAGGAAAAGACGGCUAACUCCUUGCCAGCGCCCCCGUAAAACCGAGGGCCUCAGCCGUUGUCGGAUUAUUUGGGGGUAAAGGGUGCUAAGUCAGACAGUAAAGNCGAGCUCAAUCCUGGGACGUAAUCGNAGACNUGCGCCGAAAGCCGGCUCGCUUCAGAGAGGGAAGGGCGACUGGGUCGCGCGGUUGCGAGCGCUGUGGGGAGGGGGCGGGGGGAGGGNGCGCGGAAGCUGAGCGCCAUGUCCGGCGGGGGGGCGCGUCUACCAGGGUGGGAGGAAGAGAGGGUCGGUCGCCAUGUUCCGAGGCNACCGCUAUCUGGUUCGGGCGGNCCGUUGUGUANUGCGCCGCUGGUGACGANGC